GGACGGUCUGAGUGCAGCAGUGUUUACAACUCCUUGAACACAACCAGUUACAAAUUUCAUUUGUUCCUUCUCCAUUCCCACUGCUUGCCCUGACUAGCCCUAA
ensembl:misc_RNA Y_RNA Y RNA